AGUGAACGCUGGCGGUAGGCCUAACACAUGCCAGUCGAACGGCAGCACAGUAAGGGCUUGCUCUUACGGGUGGCGAGUGGCGGACGGGUGAGGAAUACAUCGGAAUCUACUUUUUCGUGGGGGAUAACGUAGGGAAACUUACGCUAAUACCGCAUACGACCUACGGGUGAAAGCAGGGGAUCUUCGGACCUUGCGCGAUUGAAUGAGCCGAUGUCGGAUUAGCUAGUUGGCGGGGUAAAGGCCCACCAAGGCGACGAUCCGUAGCUGGUCUGAGAGGAUGAUCAGCCACACUGGAACUGAGACACGGUCCAGACUCCUACGGGAGGCAGCAGUGGGGAAUAUUGGACAAUGGGCGCAAGCCUGAUCCAGCCAUACCGCGUGGGCGAAGAAGGCCUUCGGGUUGUAAAGCCCUUUUGUUGGGAAAGAAAAGCAGCAGGUUAAUACCCCGCUGUUCUGACGGUACCCAAAGAAUAAGCACCGGCUAACUUCGUG
rnacentral:rRNA from 1 species